AGCUACACUGAAGACAGAUGAAUGCCAGGAGAUACCCGGUGUCUGUCCCAACGGAACCUCAGUGUGUCAAGAUAAAGACGCAGGCUACGAGUGCGUUUGCAAUGCAGGCUUCGAGACAACAGUUUGUGGAGAUAUAGAUGAAUGUGUCAGCGAUCCAUGUGAAAAUUUGCCUAACUCCAGCUGCAAAAACACACCUGGAGGCUUCGAAUGCAUCUGCCCCGUGGGGUAUAUUCUUGGCUCAUCAGGCCUUCAUUGCGUUGAUAUAAAUGAGUGUCAAAGCAAUCCAUGUGUAGAUCCAACCCCCAGUUGCGUCAACACAGAAGGAAGUUACAGCUGCCAAG